rnacentral:rRNA from 1 species
AAAGCUGAUGCANCAUGCCGCGUGUGUGAAGAAGGCUUAGGGUUGUAAAGCACUUUCAGCGAGGAGGAAAGGGGGUAAGUUAAUACUUUAUCUCUGUGACGUUACUCGUAGAAGAAGCACCGGCUAACUCCGUGCCAGCAGCCGCGGUAAUACGGAGGGUGCGAGCGUUAAUCGGAAUUACUGGGCGUAAAGCGUGCGUAGGCGGCUACUUAAGUUGGAUGUGAAAGCCCUGGGCUCAACCUGGGAACUGCAUCCAAAACUGGGUGGCUAGAGUGCGAGAGAGGAGUGUGGAAUUUCCUGUGUAGCGGUGAAAUGCGUAGACAUAGGAAGGAACACCAGUGGCGAAGGCGACACUCUGGCUUGACACUGACGCUGAGGUACGAAAGCGUGGGGAGCAAACAGGAUUAGAUACCCUGGUAGUCCACGCCGUAAACGAUGUCUACUAGUUGUCGGUUGUCUUGUACGACUGGUAACGCAGCUAACGCGAUAAGUAGACCGCCUGGGGAGUACGGCCGCAAGGUUA